ensembl:lncRNA
AGCAGAGAGAGAGGAGUAGAGAUAAACAGAGAGAGAGGAGUAGAGAUAAACAGAGAGAGAGGAGUAGAGGGAAGCAGAGAGAGAGGAGUAGAGAUAAACAGAGAGAGAGGAGUAGAGAUAAACAGAGAGAGAGGAGUAGAGAUAAACAGAGAGAGAGAAGUAGAGGGAAGCAGGGUUUGACAGCAACAAGAUCUCAUAGUUUCCCUUUGAAAUUCCACGUCAAUUCUGCGGGGUUCAUUGUUCGUGGUUACAAGGUUCAUUGUGCGUGGUUACAGGGUUCAUUCUGUGUGGUUACAGGGUUCAUUCUGCGGGGUUACAGGGUUCAUUGUGCGUGGUUACAGGGUUCAUUCUGUGUGGUUACAGGGUUCAUUCUGCGGGGUUACAGGGUUCAUUGUGCGUGGUUACAGGGUUCAUUCUGCGGGGUUACAGGGUUCAUUCUGUGUGGUUACAGGGUUCAUUCUGCGGGGUUACAGGGUUCAUUGUGCGUGGUUACAGGGUUCAUUCUGCGGGGUUACAGGGUUCAUUCUGCAGAUUUACAAGGUUCAUUCUGCGGGGUUACAAGGUUAAUUCGGUUCAUUCUGCGUAGUUACAGGGUUCAUUCUGCUGGGUUACAGGGUUCAUUCUGCUGGGUUACAGGGUUCAUUCUGCGGGGUUACAGGGUUCAUUGUGUGUGGUUACAGGGUUCGUUGUGCGGGGUUACAGGGUUCAUUGUCCGUAGUUACAGGGUUCAUUGUACGUGGUUACAGGGUUCAUUGUCCGUAGUUACAGGGUUCAUUGUGCAUGGUUACAGAGUUCAUUCUGCGGGGUUACAGGGUUCAUUCGGUUCAUUCUGCGUAGUUACAGGGUUCAUUGUGCAUGGUUACAGGGUUCAUUGUGCGUGGUUACAGGGUUCAUUCUGCGGGGUUACAGGGUUCAUUCUGCGUGGUUACAGGGUUCAUUCUGCGUGGUUAUAGGGUUCAUUGUCCGUAGUUACAGGGUUCAUUGUGCGUGGUUACAGGGUUCAUUCUGUGUGGUUACAGGGUUCAUUCUGCUGGGUUACAGGGUUAAUUCUGCGUUGUUACAGGUUUCAUUCUGCGUGGUUACAGGGUUCAUUCUGCGGGGUUACAGGGUUCAUUGUGCGUGGUUACAGGGUUCAUUGUGCGUGGUUACAGGGUUCAUUGUGCGGGGUUACAGG